AAGAAGGAAGCAAUUCCUUCCUUCCUCUCUUUCCCUCAAUUCGGUCCUUGUUCAUGCCUUGCUCCCCAAGGACCUUAGCUUCUCUUUCACUCUACUUAAAACUACAAAUCAGAGCAAAAAUCUGCCCCAAUUCUUCAUUCAAUCAGCUCCAAUUUCAAGUUGAAUUUCAAAAACUAAAAAUCAAUUUUACUCCCCUUUUUUUUUCCUGUUUGAUCGAACCACCACCACCGGUGGCUGCCACCACUGCUGUCCCCUUCUCCCCUUCGCUGCACCACCUUGCUGCGCCCCAUUCCCGACCACCCAGCACCACCACCACACCUCCCUCACCCUCUCCCUCCUACGCACGCAUCCCCUGCCCCGUUCCCCUGUCUCCCUCCCCUUUUCUGCCAUUCUACACCACCCACGCCGCAGUCACCACCACUCCAACCACCUUCACCAACCAAUAUCCGCUCCAAUACCCGGCGUGCCUCCGCCCAGAACCACCCACUUCCUCCCUCAAGCUCCCCGAUCUCCUCCUCGGUUCACACCUCCUCCCCUGUUGUCGCCUUUGCUCGUGUCUUUCCCCUCCGUCCCCUUGUGCUCUGCCGCCGCAAAUCACCCUCCACCGUCGCCUUUUGACGGGUUUCUCUCGACAGCACCGCCGUGCCGCCAGCCACCCUCCUCCCUUCCCUCUCUCCUUCCCCUUCGUCCGUUCUCCCCUGCUUCGUGCCCUGUUCCGCGAGAAACAGGUUCCAAUAUUGGAACUUUGUUCCUUUAAUUAUUCAAGCAAGCCCAACUUUCCUUUUAGCCCAAUAGCUCAAGUGAAUUUAGAAAUUGGACUCGGGGCUCAGGAAGGACGAUCCAUCGGACAGGAAGUAUAAAAACUGCGGUUGAGGUAAUGCUGGGGACCACGGAAACGAGUAGUGGCGAGGAUUUCACUAUUACCAAGUUCACCUAAGUUAAUGUUAAGUUGUAACAAGUUUAAGUAAAGAUUCUUGAUUAAGUUUCGUACUUUUAUUAAGGAAUUGAGAAGGAUGAUUAUGUGAAUUUUGGAGUUUAAUAGCUUAUGAUUGAUAGUUGCCUUGUAAUUCCCAAGAGGGAGUUACGGCGGGU